AUGCCUGCGCUUACUGGUCAGGUGAAGUGGUUCAACGAAUCCAAGGGGUUCGGCUUCAUCACCCCCUCGGACGGCAGCAAUGAUGUCUUCGUCCACUUCUCGGCAAUCACUGGCCCCGGCUUCAAGACCCUCGCCGAGGGCCAGAAUGUCGAAUUCACCAUCGAAAACGGCACAAAAGGCCCGACCGCCGCCAAUGUCAAGGCCAUAUAG
rnacentral:rRNA from 1 species